rnacentral:rRNA from 1 species
UAACCUGCCCAAGAGAUCGGGAUAACACCUGGAAACAGAUGCUAAUACCGGAUAACAACAGAUGAUGCCUAUCAACUGUUUAAAAGAUGGUUCUGCUAUCACUCUUGGAUGGACCUGCGGUGCAUUAGCUAGUUGGUAGGGUAACGGCCUACCAAGGCGAUGAUGCAUAGCCGAGUUGAGAGACUGAUCGGCCACAUUGGGACUGAGACACGGCCAAACUCCUACGGGAGGCAGCAGGC